rfam:Zootermopsis nevadensis contig21919, whole genome shotgun sequence.
GCCACGGUGGUCUAGCGGUUAGAACGCUGGCCUUGUAAUCCUGGGAGUCUCGGGUUCGAUUCCCGGCGGUGCCC